rnacentral:rRNA from 1 species
GUCCACGCCCUAAACUAUGAUUACUCGACAUAUGCGAUACACUGUAUGUGUCUGAGCGAAAGCAUUAAGUAAUCCACCUGGUAAGUACGACCGCAAGGUUGAAACUCAAAGGAAUUGGCGGGGUCGCACAAGCGGUGGAGCAUGUGGUUUAAUUCGAUGAUACGCUAGGAACCUUACCUGGGCUAGAAUGCAGUUUGACCGUAGGUGAAAGCCUAUUUUGUAGCAAUACACAGAUUGUAAGGUGCUGCAUGGCUGUCGU